UAUUAGUUAAUGCAAGAUCGACUACGUCGACUAAAGUUCUAGGUAGAAUAAUGAUGAUGACAAUUUUUUACCUAUAUGUCUUGACCAAGUCUCGUGCCAGCAGUCGCGGUAAUACGUGGAAGACUAGUGUUAUUCAUCUUUAUUAGGUUUAAAGGGUACCUAGACGGUAUUUCUAGCCCAAAAUAGGGUACGGAUUUACUAGAGUUUUAUGUGAGGAGGGGAGUACUCGUGGAGUAGAGAUGAAAUUUUGUUAUACUAUGAGGUAACUGGUGGCGGCGAAAGCAACCUUCUAUGUAUAAACUGACGUUGAGGGACGAAGGCUUGGGUAGCAAAUAGGAUUAGAUACCCUAGUAGUCCAAGCAGACAAUUCUGAAUGCCAUAGAUUAGAUUAUUUUUGGUCUAUAAAUGAAAGUGUAAGCAUUCCACCUUAGGAGUAAUGUGGCAACACAGGAACUGAAAUCAUUAGACCGUUUCUGAAACCAGUAGUGAAGUAUGUUAUUUAAAUUGAUGGUCCACAAAAAACCUUACCACAACUUGAAUAUUUUUUAAUUAAUACAAGCGUUGCACGGCUGUCUUCAGUUAAUGUCGUGAGAUUUUGGUUAACUCCAUUAAUUAACGUAAACCCUUACUUU
rnacentral:rRNA from 1 species